rnacentral:tRNA from 1 species
GCAGUGAUGGCUCAGUGGUAGAGUGCUUGCCUCCCAUGCAGGAGACUGGGUUAAAUUCCCGGCCAUUACA